UAAAUUUCAACAAAUUUCCAAAAAGUUCAAAGAAAUUAUGCAGAAGUGCACGUGUUCAGAGCCAAGUAACUCCAAGAAAAAAUGUCUAGCCUGCGGAGACCAGCAAAGCAUUGUUAAGAACGUGCCAAAGGAUGUCGUGCCCCAGCGUUGCAGAAAGACUUUUCGAUUUUAUCCCGAAAAUUACGUAGUCUUUGAGCAUUUUUCAACAUACGUACGGAUUUACCCAUAUAAGAAUCUUAAUAAAAUGCAGGAGUAGGAGCAGCUCCUUUAUCCUUCACUCCACCUCAAGGCGACAGCUGCUUGUCCUGCAAGUAAA